UUGGAGGGCAAGUCUGGUGCCAGCAGCCGCGGUAAUUCCAGCUCCAAUAGCGUAUAUUAAAGUUGUUGCAGUUAAAAAGCUCGUAGUUGAAUUUCGGGAUCAAUUUAUUGGUCGUGCUAUUGUACGUACUGGUACUAUUGAUUCCUACCUUCUGACGAACCACGAUGUCAUUAAUUUGGUGUCAUGGGGAAUCAGGACUGUUACUUUGAAAAAAUUAGAGUGUUUAAAGCAGGCUCACGCUUGAAUACAUUAGCAUGGAAUAACGAAAUAGGACGUUUGAUUCUAUUUUGUUGGUUUCUAGGAUCGACGUAAUGAUUAAUAGGGAUAGUUGGGGGCAUUAGUAUUCAAUUGUCAGAGGUGAAAUUCUUGGAUUUAUUGAAGACUAACUACUGCGAAAGCAUUUGCCAAGGAUGUUUUCAUUAAUCAAGAACGAAAGUUAGGGGAUCGAAGACGAUCAGAUACCGUCGUAGUCUUAACCAUAAACUAUGCCGACUAGGGAUCGGAUGAUGUUAAUUUUUUAAUGACUCAUUCGGCGCCUUACGGGAAAC
rnacentral:rRNA from 1 species